AGUGCAUGAAGCUGGAAUCGCUAGUAAUCGCAAAUCAGAAUGUUGCGGUGAAUACGUUCCCGGGUCUUGUACACACCGCCCGUCACACCAUGGGAGUUGGAAAUGCCCGAAGUCAGUGACCCAACCUAAGGGAGGGAGCUGCCGAAGGCAGGUUCGAUGACUGGGGUGAAGUCGUAACAAGGUAUC
rnacentral:rRNA from 1 species